CACGCAGACGGAUCCGACAUCCAAGCAAGAUCUUGAAGAGUCGCCGCAUGCAUCGAACACACAGCCAGAACGACCAACACGUGCAUCAAAUUGAUUCUUUUAUUGCUCAAGUUCUAAUGUGGUCAAGUACUUUGGGAUGUUCACCUGUAACACAAUGUGAAGCAAAGCGUUCGGAGACCCUCCACCUAUACCGAAACACCGCAGGAUCAUCACCGACAUCCUCAUCAAAAAAGGAGAGAUUAUAAGAAUUCACAGUGACAGGAACUUCAUUGGCGUAACUGAGAGUCAGAGUGGACCUGGUUUAUUUUAGAUCAUUCUCUUAUGUGG